rnacentral:rRNA from 1 species
AACGAACGCUGGCGGCAGGCUUAACACAUGCAAGUCGAGCGCCCCGCAAGGGGAGCGGCAGACGGGUGAGUAACGCGUGGGAAUCUACCCAUCUCUACGGAAUAACGCAUGGAAACGUGUGCUAAUACCGUAUACGUCCUUCGGGAGAAAGAUUUAUCGGAGAUGGAUGAGCCCGCGUUGGAUUAGCUAGUUGGUGGGGUAAAGGCCUACCAAGGCGACGAUCCAUAGCUGGUCUGAGAGGAUGAUCAGCCACACUGGGACUGAGACACGGCCCAGACUCCUACGGGAGGCAGCAGUGGGGAAUAUUGGACAAUGGGCGCAAGCCUGAUCCAGCCAUGCCGCGCGAGUGAUGAAGGCCCUAGGGUUGUAAAGCUCUUUCACCGAUGAAGGUAAUGACGGUAGUCGGAGAAGAAGCCCCGGCUAACUUCGUGCCAGCCGCCGCGGUAACAC